rnacentral:rRNA from 1 species
GAUGAACGCUGGCGGCGUGCCUAAUACAUGCAAGUCGAGCGAACGGACGAGAAGCUUGCUUCUCUGAUGUUAGCGGCGGACGGGUGAGUAACACGUGGAUAACCUACCUAUAAGACUGGGAUAACUUCGGGAAACCGGAGCUAAUACCGGAUAAUAUUUUGAACCGCAUGGUUCAAAAGUGAAAGACGGUCUUGCUGUCACUUAUAGAUGGAUCCGCGCUGCAUUAGCUAGUUGGUAAGGUAACGGCUUACCAAGGCAACGAUGCAUAGCCGACCUGAGAGGGGGAUCGGCCACACGGGAACUGGGACACGGUCCAGACCCCUACGGGAGGCAGAAGUAGGGAAUCUUCCGCAAUGGGCGAAAGCCUGACGGAGCAACGCCGCGUGAGUGAUGAAGGUCUUCGGUUCGUAAAACUCUGUAUUAGGGAAGAACAUAUGUGUAAGUAACUAUGCACAUCUUGACGGUACCUAAUCAGAAAGCCACGGCUAACUACGUG